AUGUCCGGAGACGCACGCUCACCGCCCCGGGGGGGGGCGCCUUACGCUCUGUACCAGUUCGGUACCAGCGGCGCCGCCGUCGCCGUCGCCACCGCCGUCACGCAUCCGCUCGACGUUAUCAAAAUUAGACUCCAAAUGCAGCUUGCUGGGCAAAGAGGAAACUUAGUUGGAAUGGGGGCAAUAUUUACACAAAUGGUGGAAAGGGAAGGGCCUCGAUCACUCUAUCUGGGAUUUGCACCAGCAUUGACUAGAUCCCUCAUCUAUGGUGGCCUUCGAUUAGGAUUGUACGAGCCCUGCAAACAUGUCUGCAGCUACGCAUUUGGUUCAACAAACUUUGCUUUUAAAUUUGCAUCGGGAGUAGUUGCUGGUGCCCUAGCAACUGCAUUGACAAAUCCGAUGGAGGUUUUAAAGGUGAGGUCACAGAUGAGUACAAGCAGAAUUAGUACAAUUGGAGUGAUGAGGGAAAUUGUAUCAGAGGAAGGAGUCAAAGCGCUUUGGAAAGGAGUUGGCCCAGCUAUGGUGAGAGCAGGCUGCCUCACGGCAUCACAAAUGGCAACUUAUGAUGAGGCCAAACAGGUCUUACUGAUGUGGACGCCACUUGAAGAAGGUUUUCAAUUACAUCUCAUGUCGAGCUGCAUCGCUGGAACGGCUGGUACACUUGUGACUGCACCUAUUGACAUGAUCAAAACAAGGCUAAUGCUGCAACGGGAGUCCAAAGGUGCCAGAGUAUACAGGAAUGGUUUCCAUUGUGCUUACCAGGUUGUCCUGACAGAGGGUGUAAAAGCACUUUAUAAAGGUGGGUUUGCCACCUUCGCAAGGUUGGGCCCUCAAACAGCUAUCACUUUCGUCGCGUGCGAGAAGCUGCGGGAACUCGCUGGAAUGUCUGCUAUUUAG
rnacentral:rRNA from 1 species